CACAAAUCCAACUCUGCUCACUGUGAGCGCUAGAUGACGCGACACCAUCUGUUGAUUGCCUGCGGCAGUCUGAAUACAUCAUCAAUGUCCAAAUUUAACUGGUUGUUCUUCGAUAAACCACGCCCACCUGCGCAGAGGUAAAAUCCUACGUAACAAAAUGACCAGUUGAUAGAAAACUGGUAAAUACUCGACGAAACAAAAUGGCUGCGUAGUUACCGCAAUACAUGCUGCGUAAAUCAAGGAUGCUUCAGAUUGUGGCAGUAUGGGUUUUUCGUAAAAAAAUUUUUUCAUCCAGUUUUGAAUUCUGUUAGCCUCCAAUUAUUUUUUGACUUCAUGUGGGUAAAUAUUAUAAUUUUGUAUUCUGAAAUUUAAUUUCAAUUAUAUUAACACAAAAAUUAAUGUUGUUGCUAAACUGACCAAUCGGCCAUGUUUGUUUUGGUCACGUGGAUACCUUAACUCUGAUUAACACACUCUGGUUUAUGUUAAUUUUCGUUGUCAACGAAGUCUAUUUUACGAACCAG